GACGAACGCUGGCGGCGUGCUUAACACAUGCAAGUCGAACGGUAAGGCCCUUCGGGGUACACGAGUGGCGAACGGGUGAGUAACACGUGGGUGAUCUGCCCUGCACUUCGGGAUAAGCCUGGGAAACUGGGUCUAAUACCGGAUAGGACCACUGCCUGCAUGGGUGGUGGUGGAAAGCUUUUGCGGUGUGGGAUGGGCCCGCGGCCUAUCAGCUUGGUGGUGGGGUGAUGGCCUACCAAGGCGACGACGGGGAGCCGGCCUGAGAGGGGGACCGGCCAACCUGGGACUGAGAUACGGCCCAGACUCCUACGGGAGGCAGCAGUGGGGAAUAUUGCACAAUGGGCGCAAGCCUGAUGCAGCGACGCCGCGUGAGGGAUGACGGCCUUCGGGUUGUAAACCUCUUUCGGCACCGACGAAGCGCAAGUGACGGUAGGUGCAGAAGAAGGACCGGCCAACUACGUGCCAGCAGCCGCCGUAA
rnacentral:rRNA from 1 species